ACCUACGGGGCGCAUCAGUAGUUAAUUUUCGUCAAUUUUCUCCAGCCUGAACGAGCAAUGCCGCGUGAACGAGGAAGGUCUUCGGAUCGUAAAGUUCUGUUGAAGGGGAAAAAGAGCGGAGAGAGGAAAUGAACUCCGAUUGAUAUUACCCUUCGAGGAAGUCACGGCUAACUACGUGCCGGCAGCCGCGGUAAUACGUAGGUGGCGAGCGUUAUCCGGAAUGAUUGGGCGUAAAGGGUGCGUAGGCGGCCUGCUAAGUCUGGAGUGAAAGGUACCGGCUCAACCGGUACAGGCUCUGGAAACUU
rnacentral:rRNA from 1 species